ACGCAUACAUACCUGCCUCCACGUACUUUAAAAAUCGAAUUACUCUCAAAGUUGGUAUAUUAAAAGAUAUUGAUUAUUUGUGUUAUGCGAAUAUAGCACGUCGAUUAAUAAUUUCGAACAGAUAAUAACGAACCGUGCUGCGAGAGAGUGACGGAAAAAGGAAAAAGAGCAGAGUCGGUUUAUAUGGAUCGAAUCUGUAUAUUUGAGAGAACAUAGAAAGAGGCAAGGAGGUGAAAGGAAGGUGGAAAGGGUGGAAGAAAGGAGGGAAGGAGAAUGGAGGGAGGAAGGAGGAACUGAAGGAAGGGAACAAGAACGAAAGAAUAGCAAUAGAUGGCGGAGGAGAGGAAAGAGGGGAAGGAAGCAGAGAAACGCAGAUGGGGCAAGCGUGGAUGAACGAAUGCCACGCCACAAAUUCUCAAUCGCCCGAGUUACAUUCCUCUCGAGAUUUCUCGUUUCUUACGAUUGAACGUUUUAAACGAAACGGAAAUGCGACAUAUUUGAACGCCUGGGCAAGAAAUCGGUAACAGAAGUAAACAAUUCUGCUAAUUAUCAAGUAUCAAGAGAUGAUUAUGUAUAUUACCUACUUGAAUGCAUAUUAUGUUCGCAACGUAUACAACGGAAUAUGGAUGCGUUAAAUUUCAGCCUAAUUAUUACAUAUUUCAACACGGUUUAUCGAAAUAAAUCAGGGAGAAAUUUUACACUCGUAUAAUACUAGAAAUUACAUUCGCGACGGUGUAUUCAGAAUUACGUAUAUGUAUAGACGUUUAAAAUGAAACUGAAUAAUAAACGUAACGGUGCGUAUAAAGUAUAAAAGGAAAUUUAUGAUAAAAUAUCGCUGAAUUUCUACUUUUAAAGGAAAA
rnacentral:misc_RNA from 1 species